GACGGAGGGUGCAAGCGUUGCUCGGAAUCAUUGGGCGUAAAGGGUGCGUGGCGGCCUGACAAGUCUGACGUGAAAGCCCAGAGCUCAGCUCUGGAAGGGCGUUAGAAACUGUGGGGCUUGAGUGCCGGAGGGGAGAGUGGAAUUCCCGGUGUAGCGGUGAAAUGCGUAGAUAUCGGGAGGAAUACCGGUGGCGAAAGCGACUCUCUGGACGGUAACUGACGCUGAGGCACGAAAGCGUGGGGAGCAAACAGG
rnacentral:rRNA from 1 species